CAGCAGCCGCGGGAAUACCGAGGGUGCGAGCGUUAAUCGGAUUUACUGGGCGUAAAGCGUGCGUAGGCGGCUUUUUAAGUCGGAUGUGAAAUCCCUGAGCUUAACUUAGGAAUUGCAUUCGAUACUGGGAAGCUAGAGUAUGGGAGAGGAUGGUAGAAUUCCAGGUGUAGCGGUGAAAUGCGUAGAGAUCUGGAGGAAUACCGAUGGCGAAGGCAGCCAUCUGGCCUAAUACUGACGCUGAGGUACGAAAGCAUGGGGAGCAAACAGGAUUAGAUACCCGGGUAGUCCCUGUCUCUUAUAA
rnacentral:rRNA from 1 species